rnacentral:rRNA from 1 species
GAUGAACGCUGGCGGCGUGCCUAAUACAUGCAAGUCGAGCGAACAGACGAGGAGCUUGCUCCUCUGACGUUAGCGGCGGACGGGUGAGUAACACGUGGAUAACCUACCUAUAAGACUGGGAUAACUUCGGGAAACCGGAGCUAAUACCGGAUAAUAUAUUGAACCGCAUGGUUCAAUAGUGAAAGACGGUUUUGCUGUCACUUAUAGAUGGAUCCGCGCCGCAUUAGCUAGUUGGUAAGGUAACGGCUUACCAAGGCAACGAUGCGUAGCCGACCUGAGAGGAUGAUCGGCCACACUGGAACUGAGACACGGUCCAGACUCCUACGGGAGGCAGCAGUAGGGAAUCUUCCGCAAUGGGCGAAAGCCUGACGGAGCAACGCCGCGUGAGUGAUGAAGGUCUUCGGAUCGUAAAGCUCUGUUAUUAGGGAAGAACAAAUGUGUAAGUAACUAUGCACGUCUUGACGGUACCUAAUCAGAAAGCAACGGCUAACUACGUG